rnacentral:rRNA from 1 species
CGUAAGGUUGCAUGGAGCUGCCAUUGGUACAGAUCUUGGUGGUAGUAGCAAAUAAUCGAAUGAGACCUUGGAGGACUGAAGUGGAGAAGGGUUUCGUGUGAACAGUGGUUGAUCACGAGUUAGUCGGUCCUAAGCUUAAGGCGAAAGCCGAAGAAAAAUUUAAAGUUUUACCCACUACUUUGGUAAUAUAAAACACUUUAAAUUUAAUUAAGCGAAAGGGAAUACGGUUCCAAUUCCGUAACCUGUUGAGUAUACGUUUGUAAUAAAUAUGGUCAUUAUGAUCAUCCUGGUAACAGAAACAAUYAUAGAGAAGCCGUCGAGAGRUAUCGGAAGAGUUUUCUUUUCUGUUUUAUAGUUGUACUACCAUGGAAAUCUUUCGAAGAGAGAUAUGGUAGAUGAACUAGAAGAGCAUGGCAUUUACUGCUGUGUCGAUAUUUUCUC